UUCCAAUUUCUAUGAAUGGUUGUAAAAGCUGGACAGGGAAGAAAGCCAAUAGGCAUAAAAUCAAUUCAUUUGAGAUAUCCUGAGUUACCAUGUCCAUUCUCCAUUCAUUUAGGAUAUACUGAGUUAUCAUGCCCAUUAAUUUGCCUUUUUAGCAGUCCAUAGUAUUCAUAGUAUAUGGCAUGGUAACUCACCCCAUAACAGAGAGAAUGAAUUAUUUUUUGUACGAGCAGCUGGAAUGUAAACACAGAGACCCAUGAAAGUGAUUCAUUCUAAUGGACCUUCUGUGUGUAUUUUCAACCUUUCUAGGAACCAGAGAGCGUCUUCCCCUAAUUGGCUGCAGAGGCAGGAGCCCUGACCGGAAUGCAAAGCGAGGAGGAGCGCGGGGACCGUGGUUGCGAAGGAGGACCCUGCGGACAGCGGGUGAUGGCGGGGUGCCCUUCUGAGCUGCCAGCCUUGUUUCCCGGCAACCCAGCCCCUGCCGUGUUUCGACGAGGCAGGCGCCUCACUCUGCAUCACUCCCGGCAAUUAGCAGCUUUGGCAAGCAAAUUAGGUUUUCUAUUAGAUUCCACAAAAGUCAUGGUAUUCAAUUUGUACCUGAACUUGGAAGUAAUUCAAUUACGUCCUCCUGUGAACCCCUGCCUCCCUGGUGCGAUGGAAAGGGGGAGGCAAUGUCGCCAAUUGGAGGGGAGGAGGGGAGGCACAUGGAGACUGAGCUAUGGUUGUUCCCUCUCUUUCUGACUCCGCUUAACUAACUGUUUCUGAAUACAUAGUUGAACCACAUAAUUCAUUUGUUCCCAAUCAAGGUAGGGCUCAUCAAUGUUAUUUUUUUCUGGCAAAGCUCCGACAGCUUCGUGACAAACUGUAUCAGACUCUGUAGCUGUCUCACCUUCACCAAGGGCAUACUGCCGCCUUGCACUGUAUUGCCUGGCUUCCUGCUGGCAAACGUAAACAGCCAGCACCAUCAGCAUGAUCCAGAGAGCCGAGCCCAUGCUGGCAAUGAAGACAGGCUGGCGCACCACUUCCAGGAUGUAAUUGCUGGCCAAGGUGUCUGAGGUCUUUGCCAUCUUCCCCACUGAAGACUCUGGAUGGGAGCAAGAUGAUGGGGCCAUGAAAGCUUCAUAACAACAAUGCACUCUGAAUAUACUGAGUCAGAUUUCCCAUUCAGCAGGAAGAAGGACCUUGGCUCAGAGGUAGAACAUUGUGCAAAACCCCAACGUGAUUUCAGCAUAACUUAAAAAUCCACUAGUGGAGUUGCAACCCCUAUACUGAACACCAAUGGACUACGGAAUAUGUGGAUCAGUGUUCGAUGAACUUGGCUACUCUAUCUUCUUUAAUGUCUUGUGCAUGUUCCAUGUUUCUGAAUGUGCAACUCUGCUUACAGCACAAUCAGUUAGUUAUGACUAUUAAGGUAAAGGUAAUUUAUGUGACUAUUACACAUUGGAUAAAAAGUUCACUCUGCAUGUGUAGCACAACUUAGAGCUGUGUAAAUCACAAAGAUGAUGCCCUCGCAGACAUGACAGGCCCACUGUAUCUUUAAUGAAUUAAUUCAUAAAAAUAACAUGCAAUGGAUGUUAUAAAAAUAACAUGCAAUAGAGCCAGGCUGUGGCGCAGCUGGCUAGUAACCAGCUGCAAUAAAUCACUACUGACCGAGAGGUCAUGAGUUCGAAGCCCGGGUCAGGUUAAGCCCCUGACCAUUAAAUAGCCCGGCUUGCUGUUGACCUAUGCAGCCCCGAAAGAUAGUUGCAUCUGCCAGUUAGGGAAAUUUAGGUACGCUUUAUGCGGGAGGCUAAUUUAACUAAUUUACAACAUCAUAAAACUGCCAACAAAACACGAGGAAUUGAAUGAGGAAGUACAGCCACUACUUGACAGUGAAGCAACAGCUCCCCCUGUGAACGGAAUCGUGAAGCUGGAAAAAAAUGUUAAAUGCCUCUGUGUCUGUCUAUAUAUGUUGCUUGUCUGUUGGCACUGAAUGUUUGCCAUAUAUGUGUUCAUUGUAAUCUGCCCUGAGUCCCCUUCGGGGUGAGAAGGGCGGAAUAUAAAUACUGCAAAUAAAUAAAUAAAUAAAUAAAUAAUGGAUAAGAG